rnacentral:rRNA from 1 species
GAUGAACGCUGGCGGCGUGCUUAACACAUGCAAGUCGAACGAAGAUGCCGGAGUGCUUGCACUUUGGCAGACUGAGUGGCGGACGGGUGAGUAACGCGUGGGUAACCUGCCUUAUACAGGGGGAUAACAGUUGGAAACGACUGCUAAUACCGCAUAAGCGCACGGUAUCGCAUGAUACAGUGUGAAAAACUCCGGUGGUAUAAGAUGGACCCGCGUCUGAUUAGCUAGUUGGUGAGGUAACGGCCCACCAAGGCGACGAUCGGUAGCCGGACUGAGAGGUUGAACGGCCACAUUGGGACUGAGACACGGCCCAGACUCCUACGGGAGGCAGCAGUGGGGAAUAUUGCACAAUGGGGGAAACCCUGAUGCAGCGACGCCGCGUGGAGGAAGAAGGUCUUCGGAUUGUAAACUCCUGUUGUUGAGGAAGAUAAUGACGGUACUCAACAAGGAAGUGACGGCUAACUACGUG